rnacentral:rRNA from 1 species
GGGAAUAUUGCACAAUGGGCGCAAGCCUGAUGCAGCCAUGCCGCGUGUGUGAAGAAGGCCUUCGGGUUGUAAAGCACUUUCAGCGAGGAGGAAGGGUUCAGUGUUAAUAGCACUGUUCAUUGACGUUACUCGCAGAAGAAGCACCGGCUAACUCCGUGCCAGCAGCCGCGGUAAUACGGAGGGUGCAAGCGUUAAUCGGAAUUACUGGGCGUAAAGCGCACGCAGGCGGUUUGUUAAGUCAGAUGUGAAAUCCCCGCGCUUAACGUGGAACUGC